UACGUAGGGUGCGAGCGUUGUCCGGAUUUAUUGGGCGUAAAGAGCUCGUAGGCGGUCUGUCGCGUCUGCUGUGAAAACUCGGGGCUUAACCCCGGGCCUGCAGUGGGUACGGGCAGACUAGAGUGCGGUAGGGGAGACUGGAAUUCCUGGUGUAGCGGUGAAAUGCGCAGAUAUCAGGAGGAACACCGGUGGCGAAGGCGGGUCUCUGGGCCGUAACUGACGCUGAGGAGCGAAAGCGUGGGGAGCGAACAGG
rnacentral:rRNA from 1 species